GAAUAUUAGUCAAUGCUCGAAAGAGUGAACUAGCUAACUGAAAUCAAUAGAAAAAUUGAUAACAUAAGGGAAAAUAAUGAUAUUACCUUAUUAUUAGUGUCGUCCAAAUCUGGUGCCAGAAGACUCGGUAAGGCCAGAGACACGAACGUUAAUCGUCUUAAUCAGGCGUAAAGGGUUUGUAGGCGGCUUUAAAUUUACUUAUAAAAAAGUAAAGAAAAAAAGCUAGAAUCAAAUAGAGGAUAUAUUAAAUAAUGCUUAGAGUAGGUCUGAUAUCUUUAGAUACUAAGUAGAAUAUUAAAGGCGAAAGCUUUUUUCCAUUAAUGAUUGACGCUCAGAAACGAAGGUGAGGAUAGGAAAUAGGAUUUGAUACCCAAAAUACCCCUCUCUGUCAACGAUGAAUGGUAGUUAUUAAAAAAAUAUUAUUAAUGGCAAUGUUAACACGAUAACCAUUCCGCCUUGUGAGUACGACUGCAAAGUUGAAAACAAAAAAAUUAGUCGGUUUCGGAGCAAACGAAGUGAAGCAUGUUAUUUAAUUC
rnacentral:rRNA from 1 species